CCAAGCUCCAGGACCAGCGUCAGGCCGCCCCAACUGCUCCCACAGCCCAGCUGGUCCCCAGCACUCGGCAGCAACGCCGGAGAGAUGGCAGCAAUGGCACCUCCAGAACUGCCCACUCCUCAAGCCACAGAGGCACAGGCUGGCACAGCAGAAGUGGCACCAGUCUUCAGCUGGUUUGGAAGAAACUACCCAAAAAAGGCAAAUCAAAAGAAAGGUACAAAAGUCAUAGCAGCAGCUUGAAACGCAAAGUUUCAGAGAAGCCUCUUGUCACUUAAAAGGUGAAGUAAGCACAGUGUUUUUCAGAGUCUCAAACCAUUGGAAAGAAGCACUCUCCUGAUAUUCAACUAUUCCACCAGAUAGUUAUAACAAGGGAUAAAAAAAAUACUGAAGAGGAUCCUAAACAGAAUACAAACUCGAGCAGAAGGAAGCUCCUUCAUGUUCAAAUUACAUGCAACACACAAAACAUCGCAUUUUUUCAAAAACUUGAACCUGCUUAGAAAAAGAGAAUAUUGUCUGGCGAUAAAAUAAAAAGGGGAGGGGAGUGGAAGGGAAAGUAGUCAUUACAUCCAAAUAUAAAACCAGAACAAUUUUUAAUAUUACUGAAUACAAAAAAAAACCCCAACAUAUCUUCCAUCCCUUACCACAAACAAACAAAAAAAAAAGCUGUUCACUUUGAAAUACAAACAAGCUCUACUGUGUUGUCUUUUAUGACUGGUUAUCUCAGGUUUUAUAACAUUACUAUCUGGAAAGCUCUCUGAUAAGAAGCAAACACUAUUUUGCACACACAAAACACCAGGGUUUGGGAGAAGAGAGGAGAUUUCCAAAGGGUGUGGAGGAACGGCAGGGAGAAGGAAGCAAAAAGAGAGCGAAACAACCUGCAAGCAUUUCUGCUGAUGCUUCCCAUUUUUGCAUGCACAAGCCCAACAACCUUUUCUAACCUGCCCAGGCAAUCCCACUUGCAGCUGGGGGAGCUCCCCUCGCCCAGGGAAGCCUGUCCCCUACUCCUGAGAAGCUGCAGCUUCAAGGGGAACCAGGGGAGGUUUCCAGGGACAGGUAGGUGAGACAAGAGAGAGAGAUGUGAACAGGUUACAAUCCUACAUCCAAACUUGCUCACAGGUGCAGCCUGAAAAGGGAACAUUGGCCCUGCACAGGCACCAGGCCAUUGCUGGUGGUCCCUGACAAGCAACUGCUGCUCUCACAUACCACUGCUUCCUCAUCCCACUGCUCCGGCAUCCUGCCUGCCCUGCAGGAUUGCCCGUCUGUAUGCAAACUAAGCAGGUUUAAGAGCAUCCUAACCUCAUUUUGCUCAAAUCCAUCGAGAUUUUAAUUAAGGCACACAAAUAUCAAGUUAAUGUCUCAAAUCUAUACAAAUUGACCCAUCUAAUGACCCUGGUUUCUGUGAGGACAGCAAAAUCAAUACAACAUGAAUGGAUGUUCACAGGGUGACAGACUCUGUAGCCUCUGCAAAAACUUUUUUCCAAGAAAUACUAAGUAUUGUCUCAGGGAAAAUAUUUAAUAUGAAACUGUUUCAACACUCUUUGUGUAUUCUGAAGACAUUUCUUAUUUCUACACAAAAGUUGUUUCAAUAAUAUAUGAAUAACAUUUUACUGUCAAGUUCAAUCCUGAGCUGAAGCAGCAUGCAACACUUUAUGUUGACUAGAAACAAAGAAGCUCUGUCUGCCUUGGCUACUCUCCAUUUCAGGAUGGGGAGAAGCAAGGAGGCCUAUAUUUUAAUGAAAACAGGCGGAAGAAAACCCACGACCAAGCAGAGAAAACUCUGAUGAUGGACGCUGAAACCCCAUCAACGUAUACCUGACUCCACAGCACAGCACACACAACUCAUAGUAGCUUAUAUAGCAGAGACGUUUUUUUUUACCCACUUACCACAAAAUGGUGCCACCAUCUAAACCAAAAAGUGCUGGAUCCCUGCAGUGCAAUUUGUGGGUUUUAUGUACAUGGACAUUUUAACAGAGCCCAGAGGAUGACUGAACACAAUUUAUGUGGGUUCCAACAUUUUUUUUAAGAUGGCUGGAUGGUCCUGUCCAUUUGAGCUGUUGCAGCAGCACAGUAUUUCAGCAUUAGCUUCAAAGGCUGUGAUAAUAAAUAGGGCAUCUGCAGCAGACAACGUGAAUUUCAGAACACGGCAGCUUAUGCUUUGCAGUACUCCCCUGAUGGCUAGAUAUGGGAUGGACAUUGUGCAAAUGUUAAACUGCCAUGAAAAACUAAGAGGAAAAGAAAAAUUUACCAGCCG